rfam:Salmo salar isolate Sally breed double haploid chromosome ssa10, whole genome shotgun sequence.
AAAAAAUAUAUAUGCAUGUCGCUCUGGAUAAGAGCGUCUGCUAAAUGACUAAAA